UGAGUCCAAAGGUGGUGGGUCACCAGUCCCUGUCUUGUCUCACUAGGGAAAAAGUUGGGGAAAAAAGUUACAAGCAAACUGAAAUGGUGGUUAACCUAAACAAACAACACGGGGAGAAACCAUAGCAAACAACAAAUAGGACAAGACAAAAACACAAGAAAGUCACUCUCCUCCACAUAAUCUCAGCCUCCAGACCCUCCUCAGGAUCCACUUAUGGGAGCUCUGCUGGGUCUGGACCAAGGCCUCCUCAGGCUCAAGGUCACUUUAUACACCUUUGGGCUUUACAUUCAAGCACCUGAAACACUUGGAAAGAUUUACAAUCAAGUGCUGAUACACCCCCAGAGGAGCCCCUGACACACUUCAAAACAUUUACUAUCAGGCACUUGGAACCUCUGAGGCUUUACAAUUAAGAUAGAGCAAAUGAGGGACCUCCCAUCACAUGCACUUCCGUUGAAGCCAGAAUUAGGCAGUCAGUGUAGACAGGUAAAUCGAGUCAGGUUGAUCAAGGAGGCCAAUUUUGAGUGAGUCUGGGAAGUUGGAGACUGUCCCCUGAGGGAUCUUAUGUAGAACCUGCCCCUGCUCCAACCUGUUGCCAGGGUAACCUGUCCCAGGAAUUGCCCUCCCUCCAGAGAGCUCUAGGGUUGUUAAGGUGUCCUUGUCUCCUCCACCUGCCCUUCCCCCUUCAGCCCACCUGGUUCCCACUUGUUGGCCCUCCCACCCAGAACUCCUGGGCCUAGUCAUGUCCACAGGAAGGAGAAAGAUAAGGGGGGAAAAGGCAGGAAAACAAAGGAAUCCUGGGACAUAUAAAAAGGGAAGAACACCU
rnacentral:lncRNA from 1 species